rnacentral:rRNA from 1 species
AGUUUGAUCAUGGCUCAGGAUGAACGCUAGCGGCAGGCCUAAUACAUGCAAGUCGAACGGUAACAUGAAUAGCAAUAUUUGAUGACGAGUGGCGCACGGGUGCGUAACGCGUAUGCAAUCUACCUUCAACUGGUGAAUAGCCCGAAGAAAUUCGGAUUAACACACCAUAAUAUAAUAGAGUGGCAUCACUUUAUUAUUAAAACUACGGUGGUUGAAGAUGAGCAUGCGUGACAUUAGCUAGUUGGUGAGGUAAUGGCUCACCAAGGCUACGAUGUCUAGGGGAUCUGAGAGGAUUAACCCCCACACUGGUACUGAGACAGGGACCAGACUCCUACGGGAGGCAGCAGUAAGGAAUAUUGGACAAUGGUGGAAACACUGAUCCAGCCAUGCCGCGUGCAGGAUGACAGCCCUAUGGGUCGUAAACUGCUUUUGUACGGGAAAAAGCCUCUUUACGUGUAAAGAGCUGAUUGUACUGUAAGAAUAAGGAUCGGCUAACUCCGUGCCAGCAGCCGCGGUAAUACGGAGGAUCCAAGCGUUAUCCGGAUUCAUUGGGUUUAAAGGGUGCGUAGGCGGAAUAAUAAGUCAGUGGUGAAAGCCUGUUGCUUAACAACAGAACUGCCAUUGAUACUGUUAAUCUUGAGUACAUUUGAUGUGGGCGGAAUGUGUCAUGUAGCGGUGAAAUGCUUAGAUAUGACACAGAACACCGAUUGCGAAGGCAGCUCACAAA